rnacentral:sRNA from 1 species
GUCAGGUGUGCUGGCACAUGCCUGUAAUCCCAGUGGCUCUGGAGGCUGAGGCAGGAGGAUAGCAAGUUCAAAGCCAACCUCAGCAGUGGUGAGGCAUUAAGCAACUCAGUGAGACCCUGUCUCUA